rnacentral:lncRNA from 1 species
GAAGCAGACAGUAGGAAGUUAUUAAAGGAAAGGUAUCCUCCUUAAAAGGGCUUGUUUGAGGAAAUAAUUAUUUUCUGGUAUUUGAAGAACUGGUUGGGGAAGAGAAAGGAUAGGCAGCCCUGACCAUCUUUAAUUUGAAAAAUGGAAAUGGACAAGAAGUUGUCUUUCUCUUUACUGCCACCUACAGUUUGUAGGAAUAAAACAUCUAAGCAUCCUUGGAGCUGACCUGAAUAUGUGUAUGGAUUCUGGAUCAGAGAACUAUUUUGCUGGUAUAGCUUAUAUUGCUUCGGAACCCAGACUUGAGGACAGAUCUGAAAAGCUUGGCACACCCCAGGUUGUUAUCUCUACUUUCAUUAAAAGAAUAUAACAUUUCUUCACCGGCCACAUAGUAGCAGCCAGCAAAGAAAUAGGUCUUAGUGGAGAAGCCCUGGAGAGGAAUGGUUCCAUCUGAUAGAAUGUGAUACAGAUUGUAUCCAAAAGAGCUUCCAGGUGUCAUAGAGUUUAGAAUCCUCCUACCUGAGAGCCUCCCUGCUGGGUUUCUAUAAGUUUUAGUACAAUAACAUCCCCAUAUGAUCAAGGCUUUUGGGUACACUCUUAACUAUUAUGCUUUUUUUUUUACCUUUGAUUUGUUCAGUAAUUAUUUAAUCAUUGAAAGUAAAUGGAAUCAUCUUUGACUUAUUUAAAUAAGAAGCAAACUUACAGAUUCUUAUUAGCUACAGGAAGUGUACUAGUGGGGAAUCAAAGGAAACAAAGUUUUGACAGGAGUGAUGAAGAGGAUGAUUUCAGAAAGAGUUGGAAAUAUCUUCAUGAACAUAUGCAGAGUGAACUAAGCAGAACAAAGAGCACAUUAUACACAGAACUGCCCUAUCAAGUAAUGCUCAAAUGUGAUAGACUAUGCAACUAACAACAACACAAUGAUUCAGUACAAUUCUGAGGGACUUAAGAAAAAGAAUGCUAUCCCCCUUUGGAGAAGGAACUGUUGGGGGUAGAAAUGCAUAUGAAAACAUAUAAUUUAUCACUUAUUUAUUUUGGUAUAUAUUUUGGGUUUUUGGCUUUAUGAGAUUAUUAAUUUAUAAAAAUGAUUAAUAUGGAAAUGAAAUUGUGUGAUAAUAUAUGUAUAAUUUACAAAAAUAAAAAUUGUUAAGCACAAAAAUUAAUAUAAUUA